rnacentral:rRNA from 1 species
UACGUAGGGUGCAAGCGUUAUCCGGAAUCAUUGGGCGUAAAGCGAGCGCAGGCGGAUCAGCAAGUCAGAUGUAAAAUCUCGAGGCUCAACCUCGAAACUGCGUCUGAAACUGCUAGUCUAGAAUGUCGGAGGGGAUAGGGGAAUUUCACGUGUAGGGGUAAAAUCCGUAGAGAUGUGAAGGAACACCGGAGGCGAAGGCGCCUAUCUGGACGACUAUUGACGCUGAGGCUCGAAAGCGUGGGGAGCAAACAGG